UAUGUAGGGUGCAAGCGUUGUCCGGAAUUAUUGGGCGUAAAGAGCUCGUAGGCGGCCUGUCGCGUCGGCUGUGAAAACCCGGGGCUCAACCCCGGGCCUGCAGUCGAUACGGGCAGGCUAGAGUCCGGCAGGGGAGACUGGAAUUCCUGGUGUAGCGGUGAAAUGCGCAGAUAUCAGGAGGAACACCGGUGGCGAAGGCGGGUCUCUGGGCCGGAACUGACGCUGAGGAGCGAAAGCGUGGGGAGCGAACAGG
rnacentral:rRNA from 1 species